UAGGGGGUUUUAGACUAGGCUUAGCCUUUCCCUUGUUAUGUUUUUUCACAAAAAAAGAAAAAGAAAAAGAAUUAGGAAUAUUUUCACAUGACUGUAUAUAUAAUUCAUGUCAUUUACAUAUAAUGUAUGUACACAAAACUUGGUUCAAAUCUAAAAUAAAAACUUGGUACAAAAAAUUGCAGAAAAUCAUAAUUAAAGCCCUCCUAAAAGGGAAGAGCCAAC
rnacentral:lncRNA from 1 species